rnacentral:lncRNA from 1 species
UUAUUGGCUGAGAAAACAUCACUACUAAUUGAUCCAUAACAACCCCUCCAUAACCCUGUUGCAAUUGAUUACUAUCGUUAUUAUUCCAUUGGCUACCAAAGUUUAACCAGAUCGGAGCAUAUUUUUUUUUGGUGGUUUCGCUAAGCCUACUGAACGUCCACCAGAUACAGUCUUUUCGUUGGACUCAUUUUCCUCAGGUGAGUGUGCCUUCCUUCUUAUAUCAGUAGGACUACGACCAAGUAAAAACCUGAACUCAUCAAUGAAUAAACAAUUUGUAAUCGAACCUCAUAUGAAAAAUGAAGAAGAACCAGUGUUUGUUCGUGUGCCAAAAAAAAUUAAAAUAGACAUGUAUAGAGCAUUGAGGCGAUUUUCGAGAAGCAAGUUCUUCCCCAAAGUAUUGUUAUAUGAUUUUAAACCUUUUCCUUUCGGUUUUCCAUUACAAUUCGUCAAUCUUCAUCCAAAAAUCUAGGGCUUUAUAGUAGAAAUUGGGGGUUUUGGGUAGAGUUAGGGCUUUGUGAAUUUUGGGUGAUUCAACCACAAUUUGGUAGAAUUUUGAAAUAAAUUAUAUAUUUGACUCGUGAGGUUAUGGGUGAUUGGGUUUUGGUCCGAGACUCGAGUUGGACCACGUGGGCCCGUUGUCGGAUUUUAGUAUUUUUGAAAGUAAGCUAGGAAAUGCAUUUCUAGGCUAUAGGAUUGUGUUUUUGGAUUCUUAUUGAUAAUAUUGAACCUGAUUAUGUUAGAUAUCGUUGGUUCGGGGUCGAAUUCUAGAACUAUGUGAUUGUGUUUUUGGAUUCUUAUUGAUAAAUUUGAAUCGAAUUAUAUUAUAUAUCGUUGGUUCAGGGUCAAAUUCUAGAAGAAAGGCGAUUGUUGAGCUUUGAGUUGUUAUUUUCGGAUUCGAGGUAAGUUUUUUAUCUAACUUUGGCUUAAGGGAAUAUGAUUAUGUUGUUAAUUGCUAUGUGCUAUGUGGGGUCGGUGUAUAGGUAUGGUGACAGUUACCUAUGCGCCCGAGUCAAGCAUGACCGUGAUGUCAUAUUUGUUAUUAAAUUGUGAAUCAAGUGAACAAUUGUGAUAAAUAAUUAUUUCAAGCACAAUGAAGUGAAAGUUGAGAAUUAAAUGAACUAAAAGGAUUUUUUGGUACUUUUCCCUUGACGGGAACAUUUGUUGAGUUGUAUUCCCUUGCUGGGAUAUAUUAUUGAGUUGUAUUCUCUUGCCGGGACAUAUUGUUGAGUUGUGUUUCCCUUGGCGGGAUCACUUGUUGUAUUAUUCUCCCUUGCCGGGAUAUUUUGUCUUGAUAUAUAUAUUUCCUUGUUCCCGUUUGGUUGUGACCAUUGAUUGGGAGAGGAAUAGAGAGUAAAAGCACGAAGGGUGAUACUGCGCACUGUUUAUUGAGAGUAAAAGUACGUAGGGUGAUGCCGUGCCUUGUAUUUAAUAUUCAUGGUGAGGAAUGAGAUUAAAAGCAUGAAGGGUGAUGCCGUGUAGUAUAUUUGAUUACCUUGGUGAGGAGUGAGAGUAAAAGCACUAAGGGUGAUGCCGUGCAGCUGUCUAUUCAUUGGCUUGCUUGUUAAGUCAUUAUUUAUUUAGUUUCAUCUCCUGAUUGUAGAAGUUAUAAUUGAACUGUUACACCCUCAGCGUGUUUCCCUUCCCCUUUAUUCGCUUAAAUUCUUGCUUUCUUCCUGUUAUUACAUAUAUCUGCAUAGUUUGGCUGUGAUACGUCCGGUUUAGCCUCGUCACUACCUCGCCGAGGUUAGGCCGGGAACUUUUCAGCAUAUGUGGUCGGUUGUGCUGAUACUACGCUUCUGUGCCUUUUUGUGCACAGGUCAUGACCCAGGUUAUGGACCGCAGCUUUAGAUCAGGAGUGAUCCUUCAGUCCAGAGGCUCUGAGGUAGUUCACUGGCGUUCGCGGGCCCCAAGCCUCCUCUAUCUUUUCUAGUUUGUUUCAUUUGUAUCAAACAGACUUCAGUUGUAUUUCUUUCACACUAUUAUUUUUACUACUCUUUAGUUGUCCAUGAGCAGUGACACCGGAUACUGGGUAGAGACAGGUUGUUAGUUUUCCGCAUCUUAUUUUAUUGUUUUUGUUAUUAAAAGUUUUCAUACUAUUAUUUUUAGUACUCUUUAGUUGUCCGUGAGCAGUGACACCAAAUACUGGGUAGAGAUAGGUUUUUAGUUUUCCGCAUCUUAUUCUAUUGUUAUUGUUAUUAAAAGACUUCUGC